UACGUAGGUGGCAAGCGUUGUCCGGAUUUAUUGGGUUUAAAGGGUGCGUAGGCGGCCUUUUAAGUCAGUGCUGAAAUACUCUAGCUUAACUAGAGGGGUGGCAUUGAUACUGAAAGGCUUGAGUGGAGUCGAAGUAGGCGGAAUUGACGGUGUAGCGGUGAAAUGCUUAGAUAUCGUCAAGAACACCGAUAGUGAAGACAGCUUACUAGACUUCAACUGACGCUGAGGCACGAAAGUGUGGGGAUCAAACAGG
rnacentral:rRNA from 1 species